rnacentral:rRNA from 1 species
UCCCGCAAGGGAUAAGUAGAGUGGCAAACGGGUGAGUAACACGUGGGUGACCUGCCUUCGAGCGGGGGAUAACGUCCCGAAAGGGACGCUAAUACCGCAUAACAUCCUGCCUUUUAAGAGGUGGAGAUCAAAGCCGGGGAUCGCAAGACCUGGCACUUGAAGAGGGGCCCGCGCCUGAUUAGCUAGUUGGUGGGGUAAUGGCCUACCAAGGCAACGAUCAGUAUCCGGCCUGAGAGGGCGGACGGACACACUGGGACUGAGACACGGCCCAGACUCCUACGGGAGGCAGCAGUGGGGAAUUGUUCGCAAUGGGCGCAAGCCUGACGACGCAACGCCGCGUGGAGGAUGAAGACCUUCGGG